rnacentral:rRNA from 1 species
GACGAACGCUGGCGGCGUGCCUAACACAUGCAAGUCGAGGGGCAGCGCAGUGUAGCAAUACAUGGGCGGCGACCGGCGCACGGGUGCGUAACGCGUAUCCAACCUUCCCGUUACUCCGGGAUAGCCUUCCGAAAGGGGAGAUUAAUACCCGGAUGGUGUUCAAGUGGUGCAUAUUAUUUGAACUAAAGAUUUAUCGGUAACGGAUGGGGAUGCGUACCAUUAGAUAGUAGGCGGGGUAACGGCCCACCUAGUCUACGAUGGUUAGGGGUUCUGAGAGGAAGGUCCCCCANACUGGAACUGAGACACGGUCCAGACUCCUACGGGAGGCAGCAGUGAGGAUAUUGGUCAAUGGCCUAAGGCUGAACCAGCCAAGUAGCGUGAAGGAUGAAGGUUCUAUGGAUUGUAAACUUCUUUUAUACGGGGAAUAACGACCAAUCUACGUGUAGAUGUCUGCAUGUACCGUAUGAAUAAGCAUCGGCUAAACUCCGUGCCAGCAGCC